UGGGGAAUUUUGGACAAUGGGCGAAAGCCUGAUCCAGCAAUGCCGCGUGUGUGAAGAAGGCCUUCGGGGCUGAUAAAGCACUUUUGUCCGGGAAAGAAAUCCUUGGCUCUAAUACAGUCGGGGGAUGACGGUACCGGAAGAAUAAGCACCGGCUAACUACGUGCCAGCAGCCGCGGUAAUACGUAGGGUGCAAGCGUUAAUCGGAAUUACUGGGCGUAAAGCGUGCGCAGGCGGUUUGCUAAGACCGAUGUGAAAUCCCCGGGCUCAACCUGGGAACUGCAUUGGUGACUGGCAGGCUAGAGUAUGGCAGAGGGGGGUAGAAUUCCACGUGUAGCAGUGAAAUGCGUAGAGAUGUGGAGGAAUACCGAUGGCGAAGGCAGCCCCCUGGCAAGUCACUGACGCUCAUGCACGAAAAGCGUGGGGGAGCAAAACAGGAUUAGAUACCCCUGGUAGU
rnacentral:rRNA from 1 species